GCUUUGGCCCCAAAACCCUGGUGCAGGACCUAGGGGACGUAGGGCGGCAGGACGAACAUUGGCCCGGCCCUCGCCUCCUCCUGUGACCCCGCAACCCCUCACCUCCCGCGGGGAGAAGAGGCGUAAGAGACGGGGUUUCACCAUGUUGCCCAGGCUGCUCUCGAACACCUGAGCUGAAGCUUCCCAAAGUGUAGGGAUUACAAGCGUGAGCCACCGUGCCCAGCCUCUACCCAACUCUUUUAGGACACAUUCCCAGGAGCCUAGCUACGUGGAGAAUAGCUAAAGCCCCAGCCUUCAACCCUUGCUUAACUCAUAGAGGACUGCCAUGUGAGUGAGCCAACUCAGAGGCAAAUUCUCAGUUAGCUGAUUUGCCCCAGCUGAUGGUGCAUGGAGCAAAAUGAGCCUUCCCCAUGAAGCCCUGCCCAAAAUACAGAUAUAUGAGCAAAAUAAAUGAUUGUUGUUUUGAA